rnacentral:siRNA from 1 species
UGGGCGUUGUCUAGUGCACUC